CAGCUGAACACCUCCCGAGCAGAUGGCAUCAGAGAGAAGCUGGAUGUUUUUCCUCAAAUGGAUUAAGAAAGCAGAAGCUUCUGCCAGGGGUAACAAUGCCACUUGUGGGCACCACUGAUUUUUAAAGCACUCCACAUUCAUUAGCUCAUGGAGCCUUCGCAGCAUCCCUGGAAGGCAAGAUGUUGAUAAUGACAAGCUCUGUUGGAACAAAGUCACCUUAAAUUCACACAACUCUUGGUGCCAGACCCUGACAGCAGC
rnacentral:lncRNA from 10 species